UACGGAGGGAGCUAGCGUUGUUCGGAAUUACUGGGCGUAAAGCGCACGUAGGCGGCUUCUUAAGUCAGGGGUGAAAUCCUGGAGCUCAACUCCAGAACUGCCUUUGAUACUGAGGAGCUUGAGUCCGGAAGAGGUGAGUGGAACUGCGAGUGUAGAGGUGAAAUUCGUAGAUAUUCGCAAGAACACCAGUGGCGAAGGCGGCUCACUGGUCCGGUACUGACGCUGAGGUGCGAAAGCGUGGGGAGCAAACAGGG
rnacentral:rRNA from 1 species